rnacentral:rRNA from 1 species
GCAGCCUGAUGCAGCAACGCCGCGUGCGGGAUGACGGCCUUCGGGUUGUAAACCGCUUUUAGUAGGGAAGAAGGGCUUCGGCUUGACGGUACCUGCAGAAAAAGGACCGGCUAACUACGUGCCAGCAGCCGCGGUAAUACGUAGGGUCCGAGCGUUGUCCGGAAUUAUUGGGCGUAAAGAGCUCGUAGGCGGUUUGUCGCGUCUGCUGUGAAAACUAGAGGCUCAACCUCUAGCCUGCAGUGGGUACGGGCAGACUUGAGUGCGGUAGGGGAGAAUGGAAUUCCUGGUGUAGCGGUGGAAUGCGCAGAUAUCAGGAGGAACACCGAUGGCGAAGGCAGUUCUCUGGGCCGUAACUGACGCUGAGGAGCGAAAGCGUGGGGAGCGAACAGGAUUAGAUACCCUGGUAGUCCACGCCGUAAACGUUGGGCGCUAGAUGUGGGGACCUUUCCACGGUUUCCGUGUCGUAGCUAACGCAUUAAGCGCCCCGCCUGGGGAGUACGGCCGCAAGGCUAAAACUCAAAGGAAUUGACGGGGGCCCGCACAAGCGGCGGAGCAUGCGGAUUAAUUCGAUGCAACGCGAAGAACCUUACCAAGGCUUGACAUACACGAGAACGGGCCAGAAAUGGUCAACUCUUU